GUGCUUAUUUCAAUGACACAAAUACUAAAACUGGAACAAAACAGAGAAGAUUUGCAUGGCCCCAGAGUGAGGAAGACACACAAAUUCAUGAAGCAUUCUAUAUAAAU
ensembl:snRNA U6 U6 spliceosomal RNA